rnacentral:rRNA from 1 species
UACGUAGGGUGCAAGCGUUGUCCGGAAUUAUUGGGCGUAAAGAGCUCGUAGGCGGUCUGUUACGUCGGCUGUGAAAACCUGGGGCUCAACCCCGGGCCUGCAACCGAUACGGGCAGACUAGAAUUCGGUAGGGGAGACUGGAAUUCCUGGUGUAGCGGUGGAAUGCGCAGAUAUCAGGAGGAACACCGGUGGCGAAGGCGGGUCUCUGGGACG